GCCGGAUGGGGCACGGGCGCCAGCGGCGGAGCCGGUUGGGGUGCGGCGGCCAACAGGCAUGAGAUUCAAUCGCGAACGAUGAUUAAUCGGGCCAUUAAUGCCAAUCGAUGCUCCGGGAAGCUGGUCCUUUCCUACUCUGCUCAUUUUCGCAAACCACAGUCCAAAAGCAAGGUGAUGGGUGUUGCUUAGGUUCCAGCUCUGUUUGGUUUAAGCUUCUCUCCAGGUUGGAAUUCUAGCGACGUACUGCUUGGUAUCUUUGGUUCUUCCAGUUGAUCCAAUGGCUAAUGGACAACCCAGACUGGCCGCUGCUCCUUUCCCACUCUCCUCACUCUUGCAAACCAAUCUCCAGCAGCGAUGGGUAAUG